rnacentral:SRP_RNA from 1 species
GCCGGGUGUGGUGGCGGGCACCUGUAAUCCCAGCUGCUUGGGAGGCUGAGGCAGGAGAAUUGCUUGAACCCAGAGGCAGAGGUUACAGUGAGCCAAGAUUGUGCCACUGAACUCCAGCCUGGGUGACAGAGCGAGACUCUGUCUCAA